rnacentral:rRNA from 1 species
CCUACGGGAGGCAGCAGUCGGGAAUAUUGCACAAUGGAGGAAACUCUGAUGCAGUGACACCGCGUAUAGGAAGAAGGUUUUCGGAUUGUAAACUAUUUUAGACAGGGAAGAAAAAGACAGUACCUGUAGAAUAAGCUCCGGCUAACUACGUGCCAGCAGCCGCGGUAAUACGUAGGGAGCGAGCGUUAUCCGGAUUUAUUGGGUGUAAAGGGUGCGUAGAUGGAUAAACAAGUUGGUUGUGAAAUCCCUCGGCUUAACUGAGGAAUUGCAACCAAAACUGUAGAUCUUGAGUACUGGAGGGGAAA